rnacentral:lncRNA from 1 species
AGGGAAUAAAAGAUGCAUGAAAUAUGAUUUUUCACCUCAAGAAACUUACAAUCUAGAGUAAACAUCAAAAUAAAAUGAUUACAGUGUGCAGAAACACAGAAGGACAGCCACAGAGCUAAGGAGGGAAUAAUUCAGACUACAAAUGAUAUAUAAUCUGUGAGUAAUGAACACAACUUUUAUAAGAAGAAAAAGGAAACAACAAGGAUGCAAAGGAUUUUCAGUGUUUAUAGAUUGGUAAGGUCUGCUCAAACAGAUGUCCAGAUAACAAGCAUCAUGCUACUGCCCAGAUGAAGACAGGCCAAGACUAUUCACAAAGCAAUUGGUUGCCUGCAAUACAGAAAAAAAAUCACUGAAGCUGUCCUAAGAUCUGAAGUGAGAUAAUGAAAGAAAACCACAGCUUUUCAAUGAUAAGAAUAAAUUUAUAAAAAUAAACUAAGUGUAUUU